CUCUAAACCCUAAACCGUAAGUCCUAAGCCCUAAACCCUAAGCCCUAAAUCCUAAAUCCUAAAUCCUAAACCCUAAAUCCUAAAUCCUAAGCCCUAAAAUUCUAGAAUUCUAAAUCCUAAAACCCUAAAUCCUAAAAUUUUUAACCUUAAACCCUAAAUCCUAAACUCUGAAAUUCUAAACCUUAAACCCUACAUCCUAAGACUCUGCACCCUCAAAUCCUGAAACCCUAGACUCUGAAACCCUAAAAUCCAAGAUCCUAAAAUUCUAAAAUCCUAGACCUUAGACCCUAAAACCCUAGACCCUGGAUCCUAAACUCUAGACCCUAGAUCCUAGACGCUAGAUCCUGAAUCCUGAACUCUGAACCUUGAAUUUCAAACCCUAGACCUGGAACCCUAAAAUUCCAAACCUCAAAACCCCAAACUC
rnacentral:lncRNA from 1 species